GAUCAUGGCUCAGGAUGAACGCUAGCUACAGGCUUAACACAUGCAAGUCGAGGGGCAGCAUGUGGUGCUGCAACCAAUGAUGGCGACCGGCGCACGGGUGAGUAACGCGUAUCCAACCUUCCCCUUAGUAGAGGAUAGCCCGGCGAAAGUCGGAUUAAUACUCUAUGUUCUUCAAUGCGGACAUCUAAGUUGAAGCAAAGAUUUAUCGCUAAGGGAUGGGGAUGCGUCUGAUUAGGUUGCAGGCGGGGUAACGGCCCACCUGGCCUACGAUCAGUAGGGGUUCUGAGAGGAAGGUCCCCCACACUGGUACUGAGACACGGACCAGACUCCUACGGGAGGCAGCAGUGAGGAAUAUUGGUCAAUGGGCGCGAGCCUGAACCAGCCAAGUAGCGUGCAGGACGACUGCCCUAUGGGUUGUAAACUGCUUUUAUGCGGGGAUAAAGUUCACUACGUGUAGUGUUUUGUAGGUACCGCAUGGAUAAGGACCGGCUAAUUCCGUGCCAGCCGCCGC
rnacentral:rRNA from 1 species